CUGCAGUGCCAGAACCAACUGUGGACGAGGACACGGGAAACCAGGAGACCGGUCCACUGAGCGAUGUUAUCACUGGCACUCAGACUGGUGGGUGUGUGUUUGUGUAUGCAUGUAUGUGUGUGUGUCUUUCUUUAAAAACUGAGGGGCUGACUGAGCGUGGAUCCCCCGCUGUAUGCAUGAUUUGUCCCAUUCUUCAGCGGCCUACACUGUGUAAGCAGCUGCUCUCUGGGCCAGAGGAGAGUCACCGACAGGAAGUGUCGAUCAGUGUGUGUGAACAGGAUAGAGACAGGCGGUCAUCCAUCUGAGGUCUUUACCAGAUUAUGUAAUCUGGAAUGAGAGAAAGAAAAUCAGACACUGAGGGGUUAAUGGAUGGAUGUGGGUGCCACUUUGAAGUACGUCAUGAAGGAUUAUAUGUUGUAACCACAGGCUUUCGUAGUUAACCUCACUGAGACUUCAGAGAUGAUUAACUUUCAUUAAAUAGGAACCUGCUCAGCUGGGCUACCCAAACCUUCUUAGACUGUUUAAAUCAUCGGUUAGACAAGUUCUUAUUAAUUAACAGCAUUUUUAGCCGCUCAAAUAACGUACAGUAAAUUUAAUUAGCAGCCAUUUAAAAAGUCAGUACAAGAAAUGUAUGAAUACUUUACUUAUUACUCUUACAGACAAAAGAAGGUUAAAAAAAAAUGAAGACACUGAAACAAUAAAACUACUUUAAAAGUGUCGUUUUGGGUUAUAUUAUUGGACAUUUUUGCCUUUUGUUCGACAAAAAGAAACAGGGGUCAGAGAGUGGGGGACAUGCAGCGAUGAGCCGUGGCUAUAAACUGAGCCAGUGACCGUGUGAGGAGGACCAUAGACACCUGUCCACCCAAGAAUGGCCAGUGUGGGAGUUUGCAUGGUAAACUCAGGAGCUGUGUUUUCAGAGGAACUAGCUACUCAUCAGGUCUAUCAAGGUAAAGUGAUCCAUAGGGAGGAGGACCCAGACUAAAAGAGAACCUGUCCAAUCCACGAUGACCUUGUCACCUUGCCUGGAGCAACAACUUAUGGGCUGCCACUUUAAAGCCAGAACUUUGCAAGAACCUCCUUUUGAGAGUCUUGAGGUUCACCCAUGGAGCCUGGCUGGGCUCAAUAGGUGCGGGGGGUCUGGUGUAAGGGGGGCCAAGUGACGAAGAGAGGCAGAGCAGCAAAGAAUGAAGCACCAAUAAGAUGGACUUCUGAUCAUGUCUCAUGCCUCUCAUAGCUCUCCUUUUUCAUGAUUGCCCUAGGCAGAGGGCCAUCGUGGAUGUGGUGAGACUCACUCAACACCCCUUUGGAAGGAGGUUAUCUAUGACACUACAAGAUGGAGAGGAGAGGACUCUCCAGAGGAUUAUGGUUUGCAGUUCAGAGGAGAGGCCUUCUCGAAGUCUUUGAGUAGAGUCAUGGAAAGGGACCUGCCCAGAGACUUUAAAACUCUGUUGGAGGACAUUAAUGACAAUGAUGACGAAACCUGGAGAGGGGUGAGGUACCAGGUAUCAGGUGGCAUUGGGGGAAAAACCUCAUUGUGGGACAGUUCAACGAGGCCAUGUUGAGGGACGUUUGAUCAGCCUUAAGAAAGUUCUGCCAAACUCUUAGAUGACUCAGGAAGGGAAGCAGGGACUGGCUCGGGUGGUUUCCAGCAGAGGUGGAGAAGUGCUGACCCAGACUGGGGAUGCUAUUGGAUAAUGGAAGGAUGCUUUGGAGAUCCCCUGCACCUGACCAACUUGUCUUCUGAUGAAAAGGGAAAGUUUGAAGAUCCAUGAGAAGACCCAUCUAUAUAUCUCUGCCAGAAGUUGAAAUAAGCACUUUUGUGGCAGGGAGCCAGGUCCAAAUGGAUUUGCUCUGAGAUGCUGAAAGCUUCCCAGAAAUUGUUUUGCGUUUCAGCGCCUGUCAGAAAGGAUGGAGGUUCCUGUUUUAAAAAAGUGCAGAGAGAGGACCCAGGGUAGACCCAGAACCUAUAGGAGGGAUUAUAGCUUCUAUGAGGCCUGGGAGGAGCUUGAAAACAUUGCCAUGGAGUGAGACACUCCACUCCUAUUUUAUCAACGAUUGCACACCUCUGUAAACCGUAUGAGAGUCUGUGAUUGUAGAUUCUACGGACUCUGAGAAGAGGCUCCUGCAGUCUUCAGCCUUUAAUUCUUUCUAGUCUUUUUUCCCCAUGUGCACGUGAUGGACUGGCAUGCCUACCACCACACCGAGAUCUGACACCUGCAGCAGAUUAAAUGAAGCACAUGUCCUGUAGAUGAGGUGGAAGAGAAGAUUGCAUUGUUUAGUUUGUGCUGGCUGUCUGGCUGCUGUCAGGGGCGUCUUGCCAACAUGUCUGACUGUGUGAGUCCUCUGCUGGGACUAAGAUUGUUGCCUCAGUGUCUUAGCAGAGCUGCAGCUUGUCUGACUGUCACAGGAUUGUCUGCCUGCCCUCACUGCCUCCUCUUGGAUGGAGAUAUAAUGUUCAUUUACACACAAAGAGAAUGAGCUAUUUAUAAUAAGGCCUGUCCGCAGGCUUUCUUUCCACAGCACCUUUCUGAAUGGCCUUCACAUGCACUGAGCUAAAAAUAUCAACCAUUUGAAUAAAUUCAACAUAAAGCCUCUGGAUGCUUCACUUCAUCGGACUUCUGUAGUUACAAUGUUUUAAAACAUUAACCUCCCUCAGGGGAAUCACUUUCAAUUCAGUUCAAUUCAAUAAGGACUUGGAAUAAGGACUUUCAAAGACUUGAGUGGAAGAAGGACCCAGAGUGGUGAACACAAUGGUAGCACCCUCUGCUCGUGACACUGCUCUAACCUCAGUGAAACCUCAAGUUUGCAGCAUUUUUGAUAAAACAACUUCAAAUGUCAACUUGCUCAAAGACUCAGAUUCAUAGAUGAAGUUUAUAGAUACCACACAUGUUGGUGGACUCUUAGUACUUUUGUUUUUUAAUACAACAGCCACACAGCUCUAGUAACUUGGUGUCGCAUUCAUACCCGUCAUAAGCCAGAGGUGAAGUGAAUUAUUCUUCAUUUUUGAAUGGAAGGGCAAAAAUAAUAAUGGGCGAGGGGUCAGGGUUAGGUUGAGACUGUGCCACCAGCAAUAGAGCUGGUGUUUGAUCUAUAUGGGGGCCAUGCUUCCUGCAGGGGGAGUUCACACAAGUCCUCCCUGUGGGAUUUGAGUCUUUAUUUUUUCUGGCAUUUCACGCUGCUGUGAGGAGUUUUGAACCAGUGGAGGAAAAAAGGAGGAAAUUAUAUGUAUUAAGAAAAUUCAUUUAACAUUGUCCCACUUAUCGAGCAUCUGCUAACCAAAGAUACAACACAAAAUAUUGAUUUCACUUCCAAGGACCGCACUUUUAACAAGAUGCAGUUUGACAAUUAUUUAUAAAUUCUGCAUUGAUAUGGUGAUUCUGGAUUUGACAUUGAACUUCUUGGUGCUGUCAGUUUGGGGAAGCUUCUUAGGAGAUAUGCCAAAGCUCCUAGGCAGGACGAACCCCUGAGGGUCCUGCAGAUAGAAGGACAGAAAGAGAUAGAGGAAAGAGGGUAGGGUGGAGGGGUGUGAAACAUGAAAAGGGGAGAAGGGAGACAGGUUUGAAUUAACAGGAAUGCUGGUAGAGGGUUUAGUGUGUUCUUGCUCCUGGAUUUUGCUGUAUAUCAAAAUUGAUUCAACUGAUUUUACAAAUGAUUUAGUCAUACUUCCAAAAAAUAGUCUCUGUGUUUCCACUGUUGGUAACACUUCUAUGGCAACAGAUUGUUAUCUGCCUCCUUACAGUAUGAAUUAACUCUGAAAUGAACAUUUCUGCUUACGGUCAAGUUAGAAUAUUAGCAUUUAUUUCUUAUAAUUAACACCAAACUCAACAUAAAGGUAAUGUUGGACAAGGUGAACGUAACAUCUACAGGAGUAUUUAUUUUGACAUAUCUGCUCUCAUUCAGCUCUUCUUCCUCUCAAAGUUAUGCAGCUGGCACAACUUUAAACAUAAAUGAAGUACAGCUUUAAAUUUUUUAUUGUUGCCAUCAUCACAAGCCAGUCUCUUCUUCUGGUUCUUUUGCCAAAGCUUACAAACAUUAAAUGAUCUUGGUCAUUUUUACCAAGCCACUCAGUAUGACCCUCACGGCCCCCUUCAUGCAGAGUUUAGACUAAUGCGAACAAGAAGGAGGUUCACUCGUGCCAGGAAAGCCACAUCAAACAGAUAUCCUAGAUUAUUUGUUCAUCAGCUGUUGAGGGUUUUGAACAAGCUGCAGGAAUUGCUGCUGCUGCACAAAUACAGAGGACUGUUGGACCGAAGACAGAAACUGAUGUUUUUGUUUGAGAAUCAAUAGGCAGACUCCUUUACACUGAUUGAUUUGAUAUGACGUAUGUGAUCAGGUUGUUCUUUGUGAUGCUUUGCUGUUGAGAAUUGAUGAUCCUGAGGUUUUGACCUGUCAGCAUGAGGUGUUUAGCACAGCCAGAUCAUAAGAUGUAGUGCUGAUCCGGACUACAAAGAAAACAAAGCCAUUGUCAUAAAGAUUGACUGUGUCUUUUGAGUGAAUUUUAGUGCCUCAAAUCCCUGCAGAAGGGUAGAUGUAGCCUAUUUUAUAAACAGAGCAGUCAAAGCUAAAAAAUGAAACACUAAAAUUUUAUGUUAAUGUCUUGAAUGUACACUUUUGGUGGCAUACAGUGAGUGUGUGUAAAUCUUUCAUUUGGUGAAGCCGUUGUAAGUAGUAACAACAACACAUUUUUGACUGGCUGGAGCCUUUAACAAAAUAGAUUUUUUUAACCAACCAAAAAAAAUUUUCUCUGGCAGAACUGGUUUUAACUGAACUAGAACCAGUCCUGUGGUUCAUGUAUCCUUCCUGGCUCCCAGCCCAGGCUGUGGAGCUGGACUCAUGAGCUUCUGAGCUAGCCUACUGUAACUGUCUGACUGUGUUGUUGACUCUGGUCUGUACUUCCUGCUUUGAUAACUUUCCCUCACGCAUCAUAAGAGCUGCUGCCGCUGGCCGGUCACACUCAUCUGACCACUCUAUCAUUCAGGAAGUUAAAACAGUGAAAGUGACUCAGUGGUUCAGCGCCUGUGAACUGCCGAGAAGAUGCUGAUCAAUGUGCCCCACAUUACUGAACAAAGACCAGUUAGAUCUGGCAAGGAUCUGACGGAGCUGGAUAUUAAAUAACACACUUGAACUGGUCUAUCUUCAAACUAUAUAUGAUCAUGACUAAUUUACAUGCAUGGAUAUAAUACAGGUGAACAAGUGUGUGUUUUUUUAACAUGUGCCAACCAAGGUUUUGGCCUGAUCAGACAUGACUACAACAUGAGUAUUGCUAAAAACAAUAAUACCAACAUUCUUCACCUCACUAUUCAUCAAACCAGCAAGAAAUCUCAAAACAAAAGAGAAAUGCAGAGAGAUUUUACAGCUUUGGCUUGAAUAGAGUUUUCAGACUUAAACAGAUUGACCUAAAUCUUAAGUGAAAAUCAGAGCCUACUGCUAUUUGUCAAUAAGAUAUCCGUGCACUUAAACUUAAGUUCUACUUUUUAGGACUAAAUAUGCACAACUUGGUAAAUAGGCCCAAUUAAAAUUACACCCAAAUAUCCAUCGGCACUUAAUCUUAACAAAUAACUGGUUGAUGUACUAAAACACAGCUGAUUGGACCAGUCAAACUGAGUGCCUUUACUGCUCCCCUCUAUUACUACUUCUUGAGGUAGUUGAUCAAUUUUCCUGCAGUUAUGAUGAGAAUUUACAUAUGAAUACUCAGGGUAGAAAUUGACUGAAUCUAUAGGUCGAACGUCUCAAACUAGAAGUUUAAGUUCGGGGAAGGUUAGAUUGGUGGGCAGACCUCCAGUUCCUAACUUGUAUUUUAUUUUAGAUCACCAGGAUACAAAUCAGGAUCUUCUUCAGUGGUGUGACUUCUCACUUCUGCUGCAAUGAUGUGAGCUACAGGACACUCCAGUGUUUAUAAGUAUACUGUGUAACCACAGGUGAGUACAUUUUCAGGUAAAACAGAUGAAAAUCAGAGUUCAGACAGAUUUCAAAUGUAACCUCACAUGUAAAACAAGGG
rnacentral:lncRNA from 1 species